UACAGAGGUCUCAAGCGUUGUUCGGAUUCAUUGGGCGUAAAGGGUGCGUAGGCGGCGCGGUAAGUCGGGUGUGAAAUCUCGGGGCUUAACUCCGAAACUGCAUUCGAUACUGCCGUGCUUGAGGACUGGAGAGGAGACUGGAAUUUACGGUGUAGCGGUGAAAUGCGUAGAUAUCGUAAGGAAGACCAGUGGCGAAGGCGGGUCACUGGACAGU
rnacentral:rRNA from 1 species